GUAGGUGAACCUGCGGAAGGAUCAUUAAAAUAAGUGCUCUUCAACUUUUAGUUAAGAGACUACUACUACACCACUGUCCCGUCUCUUUUCUUGAGCUUAAAUCAGAACGUAGAUGUGGUUAUUGUGUCCACCCAAUUGUGAAACUUCAAUUUUGCUUCGGCAGCACUCUUGGCGGGCAACCGCUAGAGGGGUAAGGCUGUCAGAGGCCCAUAUCAAAACCAGUUGAUGAAAUGUCAUGCUGUCUGAUAUCAUACUUUUUGAGAAAUCAAAUCAUAUUAAAACUUUCAGCAACGGAUCUCUUGGUUCUC
rnacentral:misc_RNA from 1 species